UGACAAACAUAAGAGGUCCAGCCUGCCCAGUGACAAAGUUCAACGGCCGCGGUACCCUAACCGUGCGAAGGUAGCAUAAUCACUUGUUCUUUAAAUGAGGACUUGUAUCAACGGCACUACGAGGGCUAUACUGUCUCCUUUUUCUAAUCAGUGAAACUGAUCUCCCCGUGAAGAAGCGGGGAUUGAGAUAUAAGACGAGAAGACCCCAUGGAGCUUUAAACUCACCAUGCACCUCUGUGCUCCUAUACCCCUAAACACAACAGACCUGCAUGUUAGUUUUAGGUUGGGGUGACCACGGAGUACAAUUCAACCUCCAUAGCAAAUGGGCUAAAACCCUUAUCCACGAGACACACCUCUAAGAAUUACUAAACUAAUGCUUACGACCCGAUAUUCGAUCAAUGAACCAAGUUACCCUGGGGAUAACAGCGCAAUCUACUUCAAGAGCCCAUAUCGACAAGUAGGU
rnacentral:rRNA from 1 species